rnacentral:lncRNA from 1 species
AUAUCUAUAGUAAUUCAGUAAAUGUGAUUAACCCAAAUUCUGACAUUUCAGUGUAAAGUAAGACUCUUGAUUUUACGAGCAAGAGUCUUUAUACACUCAAAAAGAGUCCAACUCUAUUGGAAGAAGAAAAAGUCGAAGAUUCUCUGAAUAUUAUAUAAACAAUAAAUUCAACCAAUAAUUAUAUAUUAGAAUUACUUACAUAGACAUAGUCAAAGUCAUUACAAAUUCCGCGUAUUUUCCAGUCAAGGGACAUAUUCACAUAUACUAAUGCAACAAACUAAGUCGGAGAAGGAGCGAAA